CUCAUCAUCAGGAACAGGCUCAAGUAUGCUCUGAAUUACCGUGAGGUUAUUUCUAUCCUGAUGCAACGCCAUGUCUUGGUUGAUGGCAAGGUCAGGACUGACAAGACCUACCCUGCUGGGUUCAUGGGUAUGCUCUGAUCUUCCAACCUGCAGAAAGAUUCUUCCUACCUUUGCUAUGUAGUUACUGAUUUGUUGCAUUUGUUUUUUGGCAGAUGUCAUUUCCAUCCCCAAGACCAAUGAGAACUACAGGCUUCUGUAUGACACCAAGGGCCGCUUCCGUCUUCACCCCAUCAGGGAUGAGGAUGCCAAGGUUAGAGCAAUUCCCUUUUGUAAAUUUCUCAUUUUUCCUGUUGUGCAUGAUCUUGUUAGCGUAUAGGAUACUGUUUUCAGUUGAUAUACCUAAUAUGGUUGAUUAUUAUACUCUUAAUUACUUGAUGUUCUUUGCUAUCCGAUUCAAGUUUGCGUUGGUUUUUUGGUUCUUAGCAUAUACUUCCUGUAAUUUCAUCCUGAAUUCUCAAGUUCCUCGCGCCUUCCCAAUUUUCAAGUGAAUGCUGAUUGAUGUUUGAUUGUUCUGUGUACAGACCAAGCUCUGCAAGGUUAGGUCUGUUCAGUUUGGCCAGAAGGGCAUCCCAUACCUGAACACCUAUGAUGGGCGCACCAUCCGCUACCCUGACCCGCUCAUCAAGGCCAACGACACCAUCAAGAUCGACCUGGAGACCAAUAAGAUUGUUGACUUCAUCAAGUUUGAUGUUGGCAACGUUGUCAUGGUGACUGGUGGAAGAAACACUGGUCGUGUUGGUGUGAUCAAGAACAGGGAGAAGCAUAAGGGCAGCUUUGAGACCAUCCACGUUGAGGAUGCCCUGGGCCACCAGUUCGCCACCCGUCUUGGCAAUGUGUUCACCAUCGGCAAGGGCAACAAGCCGUGGGUGAGCCUGCCCAAGGGCAAGGGUAUCAAGCUCAGCAUUAUUGAGGAGCAGAGGAAGCGGGAUGCCGCUGCCCAGGCUGCUGCCAACGCAUAAAUUCCUCAGAAUGUGCCUUGAGUUUUGCUAUAGCGAGUUUAUCUGCAAGGAUAUAGAACUAUCUUCCCAGACUAUCCUGUUUUAAGUUUUGC
rnacentral:lncRNA from 1 species